rnacentral:rRNA from 1 species
AUAUUGCGCAAUGGAGGGAAAUCAGAUGCAGCAACGCUGCGCGAGUGAAGAAGGUUUGCGGGUCGUAAAACUCUGGUAUUUGGGAAGAAUAAAUGCCUGUACCCAAUGAGGAAGGUCCUGCCAACUACGUGCCAGCAGCCGCGGUAACACGUAGGGGGCGAGCGUUGUCUGGAAUUAAUGGUCGUAAAGGAUACGUAGGCGGCUCUAUUAGUCACGUGUGAAAUACCAAUGCUUAACACUAGAAUUGCAUUUGAAACUGUGUAGCUUGAGUGCAGGAGAGGAAAGUGGAAUUCCUAGUGUCGCGGUGAAAUGCGUAGAGAUUAGGAGGAACACCAGUGGCAAAGGCGACUUACUGGACUGUAACUGACGCUGAGGUACGAAAGCGUGGGGAGCAAACA